AUUCUGGCUCAGGAUGAACGCUGGCGGCGUGCUUAACACAUGCAAGUCGAACGGGAUCCAUCGGGCUUUGCUUGGUGGUGAGAGUGGCGAACGGGUGAGUAAUGCGUGACCGACCUGCCCCAUGCUCCGGAAUAGCUCCUGGAAACGGGUGGUAAUGCCGGAUGUUCCACAUGAUCGCAUGUGAUUGUGGGAAAGAUUCUAUCGGCGUGGGAUGGGGUCGCGUCCUAUCAGCUUGUUGGUGAGGUAACGGCUCACCAAGGCUUCGACGGGUAGCCGGCCUGAGAGGGCGACCGGCCACAUUGGGACUGAGAUACGGCCCAGACUCCUACGGGAGGCAGCAGUGGGGAAUAUUGCACAAUGGGCGCAAGCCUGAUGCAGCGACGCCGCGUGAGGGAUGGAGGCCUUCGGGUUGUAAACCUCUUUUGUUUGGGAGCAAGCCUUCGGGUGAGUGUACCUUUCGAAUAAGCGCCGGCUAACUACGUGCCAGCAGCCGCGGUAAUACGUAGGGCGCAAGCGUUAUCCGGAUUUAUUGGGCGUAAAGGGCUCGUAGGCGGCUCGUCGCGUCCGGUGUGAAAGUCCAUCGCUUAACGGUGGAUCUGCGCCGGGUACGGGCGGGCUGGAGUGCGGUAGGGGAGACUGGAAUUCCCGGUGUAACGGUGGAAUGUGUAGAUAUCGGGAAGAACACCGAUGGCGAAGGCAGGUCUCUGGGCCGUCACUGACGCUGAGGAGCGAAAGCGUGGGGAGCGAACAGGAUUAGAUACCCUGGUAGUCCACGCCGUAAACGGUGGACGCUGGAUGUGGGGCACGUUCCACGUGUUCCGUGUCGGAGCUAACGCGUUAAGCGUCCCGCCUGGGGAGUACGGCCGCAAGGCUAAAACUCAAAGAAAUUGACGGGGGCCCGCACAAGCGGCGGAGCAUGCGGAUUAAUUCGAUGCAACGCGAAGAACCUUACCUGGGCUUGACAUGUUCCCGACGACGCCAGAGAUGGCGUUUCCCUUCGGGGCGGGUUCACAGGUGGUGCAUGGUCGUCGUCAGCUCGUGUCGUGAGAUGUUGGGUUAAGUCCCGCAACGAGCGCAACCCUCGCCCCGUGUUGCCAGCACGUUAUGGUGGGAACUCACGGGGGACCGCCGGGGUUAACUCGGAGGAAGGUGGGGAUGACGUCAGAUCAUCAUGCCCCUUACGUCCAGGGCUUCACGCAUGCUACAAUGGCCGGUACAGCGGGAUGCGACAUGGCGACAUGGAGCGGAUCCCUGAAAACCGGUCUCAGUUCGGAUCGGAGCCUGCAACCCGGCUCCGUGAAGGCGGAGUCGCUAGUAAUCGCGGAUCAGCAACGCCGCGGUGAAUGCGUUCCCGGGCCUUGUACACACCGCCCGUCAAGUCAUGAAAGUGGGCAGCACCCGAAGCCGGUGGCCUAACCCCUUGCGGGGAUGGAGCCGUCUAAGGUGAGGCUCGUGAUUGGGACUAAGUCGUAACAAGGUAGCCGUACCGGAAGGUGCGGCUG
rnacentral:rRNA from 1 species